rnacentral:rRNA from 1 species
UACGAAGGGGGCUAGUGUUGUUCGGAUUUACUGGGCGUAAAGCGCACGUAGGCGGACUAUUAAGUCAGGGGUGAAAUCCCGGGGCUCAACCCCGGAACUGCCUUUGAUACUGGUAGUCUCGAGUCCGGAAGAGGUGAGUGGAAUUCCGAGUGUAGAGGUGAAAUUCGUAGAUAUUCGGAGGAACACCAGUGGCGAAGGCGGCUCACUGGUCCGGUACUGACGCUGAGGUGCGAAAGCGUGGGGAGCAAACAGG